UGCGCUGUGCUCGAGGGGUGCCGGCUAGGCCCGACUGAGAGCAAGCGAACAGGCAGGCAAGCUCCGAGGGGGCGCGGCCCAAGCUGGACAGGACAAACGAUCGAGACGCAGGAGCCGUCCAUCACCAAUUAGCCAGGUAGCCGCCGCGUCCCUAGGCUGAGGUGGACGCGGGCUGUGCAAGGGGUCUCACCCACGCCCAGCCUCCGCCCUCCUCCUCUCCCCUCUUCCUUCUCCUCCCGUUCCCUUCUUUCUCGCUGCCCGCGUUUGCACAGCCUUCGACCAUGGGCAUGUCCGACGUGUACCUCCGCAGCAGAACAGCGAUGGAACGCUUGGCCUCCAGCGACACCUUCCCAGUGAUAGCGCGCAGCAGCGCCUGCCGCAGCCUCUUCGGGCCUGUAGACCACGAGGAGCUGGGCCGCGAGCUGCGGAUGCGCCUGGCGGAGCUGAACGCCGAGGACCAGAACCGCUGGGACUUCAACUUCCAGCAGGAUGUGCCUCUUCGAGGCCCUGGUCGUCUGCAGUGGAUGGAGGUGGACAGCGAGUCUGUGCCCGCCUUCUACCGCGAGACGGUGCAGGUGGGGCGCUGUCGCCUGCAGCUGGGGCCCCGGCCACCUCCGGUGGCUGUGGCUGUCAUCCCGCGUUCUGGGCCGCCGGCUGGCGAGGGCCCCGACGGCCUAGAGGAGGCGCCUGAGCAGCCGCCCAGCGCCCCAGCCUCGGCCGUGGUCGCGGAGCCCACCCCACCCGCGACAGACCCGAUCCCAGACGUGGCGACUCAGGACGGCGAGGAACAGGUCCCUGAGCAGGUCUCUGAGCAGGUCUCUGAGCAGGGCGAGGAGUCGGGUGCUGAGCCGGGUGAUGAGCUGGGAGCUGAGCCGGUCUCUGAGCAGGGCAAGCAGCAGGGCGCGGAGCCGGUCGAGGAGAAGGACGAGGAGCCGGUGGAGGAGCAGGGCGCAGAGCCGGUCGAGGAGAAGGACGAGGAGCCAGUCGAGGGGCAGAACGGGGAGCUGGUCGAGGAGCAGGACGAGAAUCAGGAGCUGAAGGACCAGCCUCUCUCGGGGAUUCCAGGACGUCCUGCAGCCGGGACUGCUGCGGCCAAUGCGAACGACUUCUUCGCCAAGCGCAAGAGAACUGCGCAGGAGAACAAGGCGUCGAACGAUGUCCCUGCAGGGUGUCCCUCUCCUAACGUGGCUCCUGGGGUGGGCGCGGUGGAGCAGACCCCGCGCAAACGUCUGCGAUGAGUUAGUUUAGAGCCUAACGGCCAGAGAGAACUUGCUGGGCAUCUGGGCAGCGGACGAUGGAAGAACUCUGGGCUUCGGCUGGGACCUUUCAUUCAUGUAGCAGGAACCGGAGAUGGCUGCGCAGAGCAGCCCACGGUUUUGUGGAAAUCUGAAAACUGUGCAAUGUAUUGAGAACACUCUGUACCAUGUGCAAGGAGUACGCUGGUCCCAAGGUGUAAAGCUUUAAAUCAUUUAUGUAAAAUGUUUAAUCUCUACUCGCUCUCAGUGCAAAAAGAUAAAAAGAAAAAAAGAGAGAGAAACUAGAAAAUGUAGAACGAAGGAAAAAGACGAGAAAAAGGAAAAACAUGUAUAUUUGUACAAAAAGUUAAAAAUUAUGCUAAUUUAAUGUUUGUAUUUAUCCAUGCGUGGAUCCCUCUGCCGCGCAACUGCUGGCUUAUUGAUUAUUACCAAAGGCACUAGAAAUCACCAGCUUCAGAUUACCCACAAAUGUAAAUCUACUUUUGUAUUAGACUCUAGAGGAAUGGUUGUUGAGUAAAAGCCCCCACACAUUCAUCUUCAGUUAGCUGACAGUGUCCUCCACAUUAUUAGAUUGCUCUUAAACUUGGUGACCAGACUGUCGAAAAAUGGUUCCUGUACUGCCCAUACCAACUGCCCAGGGCUCCUCGUCCGCCAGGUUCUAAAUAAAGAGGCCCAACAAAAAUCAC
rnacentral:lncRNA from 1 species